AACAUGCGGGAACUUUCCGCAGAAUCUCCGACGCUGCUAGCACAGUGAGAAACGAUUCAAAUUCCCUUUUCCAAGAUCAGUAGGCUGGCGACAUCCGCCUGCCCUCUUGCCCUCCCCUCCCUUCGUCCGUCAGUCUGUGGUUCCAUCCGUACUCGCUGACCCGCGUGCGCGUUCACCGCCGGAGUUAUGCCUCGCGUUUUUAUAGUCGGUCCUUAAUUUUCAACUAAAUGUAUUGUUCGUGUAAUUUCAGAAUUACCUUCUCUGUGCGAUCGUGAAGCUGUUAAUCGUCUCUCGGUCUUAUUUUGGCUUUACUCUUCUCUUGUCCUGUCGCACCGGCCCACGCUCCUAACCUCUUCAAUGUCUUCCAACACAGAUGGUGCAUUCCGUUAAAGGGGCUGCGGUGCGAGAUACCCGCCCUGAAACUUUUUGAGAACGGGAAUGGACUGGACACGCCCUAAAAAAUGAGUCUAGCGACAGCACUUUACUGCCCCCAGCACGACUCGACUAUAGGAGCCCCUGACGCACUGGUCAAUCGGAAAACUAUGACUUCAG